AACCCUUCAUCUCCACGAAAUCCCAACCCCCCAAUCUUAAUCCUCUCCAUCACCACCUUCAAUGGUUGAUGACCCACGACGAUGAACCUCCAUCGAACCUCUCCAUCUCCACCUUCAACGACCAAUGACUGAUGACGACGAACCUUCAUUGAUGGAAACCUCCAUCAAACCUCUCUAUCUCCACCUCCAUCGACGGUGAACCUCUCCAUCAUUUUACUGGCAACGCCUUGAACCUCUGUAAACUCUAUUUCUGUCCACGAAGCCACACAUCCCAAACUCUAUUUCUCAUAUCGAUAGUGACUCACGUUUUAGCUGGUCUUUCCUACUUUGUUUCUCAAGUUGAAGACGACCUACAACGUUAUGGCUUGUAACCUACUCGGUUCCUCAAUCAAACAAUCAUCCAUGCCCUUCUGAUCGUUUUGCACCGCUUUGGAGGAUGGAUGUGAAAUUCUGUGUGAGGAACGGAUGAACUUGAAGUUUUCUUUCCAACAAGAAGUGUAUAUAAAUUUCAAAGGUGGAAGAUGUGUGGAAUCGAAGGUUCGAUUUGAAUUGAGUGUGGAAUCGGAGGUUCGAUUUGAAUUGAGUGUGUAAUCGAAGGUUGGAUUUGAAUUAAUUGUGGAAUCAAAUGUUGGAAUUGAAUUAAA